rnacentral:misc_RNA from 1 species
CGCACAUUGCACUCGAUAGUAUUCUGUCGAGUAUGCCUGUUCGAGCGUCAUUUCAAACCUCAAGCAUUGCUUGGUAUUGAGCGUCUGCACUAUGUGUAUGAAUGUGCACAUGGCAGAUCUCGAAAAUCAUUGGCGAGUUUACACUAAACCGAGCACAGUAAUACGCUAGCUUUGGGAUUGUGUGAGCUUCCGCCAUUAAACUGGCAUCUGCCCAAGUUUUUGACCUCGGAUCAGGUAGGAAUACCCGCUGAACUUAA